rnacentral:rRNA from 1 species
UAUCUUGACUGUGCUAAGGUAGCAUAAUAAUUUGCUUUUUUAUAGGGGGCUCGAAUGAAAGAGUUGACGACACUUAGCCUUUCCUAUGUUGAAUUUUGAAUUUAGUUUCUGCGUAAAAAAACGCAGCUUUUUUGGGGGACGAUAAGACCCUGUAAAACUUUAACCGAUUAAGGAUCUAACAACCAGGAAUUGUGAUUUUAGCUAUUUUAAGUCGGUUAAGCUGGGGCGGCAUGUAAAUAUACUUUAUUAAAGAAAACAAUAUUUUUGUGGGGAAAGAUCUUUUAGGGAUUUAGAAUAAGUUACUUCAGGGAUAACAGCAUAAUUUUUUAAAAUAGAUCUUAUAAACUAAAAAGACUUAUGACCUCGAUGUUGAAUUGAGGGGCUAUUUUUGUGCAGAAAUAAUAAAUAGGGGUCUGUUCGACCUUUUUUUCCUC